rnacentral:rRNA from 1 species
UUAAGCGACUAAGCGUACACGGUGGAUGCCCUGGCAGUCAGAGGCGAUGAAGGACGUGCUAAUCUGCGAAAAGCGCCGGCGAGGUGAUAUGAACCUUUGACCCGGCGAUGUCCGAAUGGGGAAACCCAGUGUGAUUCGUCACACUAUCGUUAACUGAAUACAUAGGUUAACGAGGCGAACCGGGGGAACUGAAACAUCUAAGUACCCCGAGGAAAAGAAAUCAACCGAGAUUCCCCCAGUAGCGGCGAGCGAACGGGGAGCAGCCCAGAGUCUGAAUCAGCUUGUGUGUUAGUGGAAGCGUCUGGAAAGUCGCACGGUACAGGGUGACAGUCCCGUACACGAAAAUGCACAGGUUGUGAACUCGAAGAGUAGGGCGGGACACGUGGUAUCCUGUCUGAAUAUGGGGGGACCAUCCUCCAAGGCUAAAUACUCCUGACUGACCGAUAGUGAACCAGUACCGUGAGGGAAAGGCGAAAAGAACCCCGGCGAGGGGAGUGAAAAAGAACCUGAAACCGUGUACGUACAAGCAGUGGGAGCACCUUCGGGUGUGACUGCGUACCUUUUGUAUAAUGGGUCAGCGACUUAUAUUCUGUAGCAAGGUUAACCGUAUAGGGGAGCCGAAGGGAAACCGAGUCUUAACUGGGCGUUAAGUUGCAGGGUAUAGACCCGAAACCCGGUGAUCUAGCCAUGGGCAGGUUGAAGGUUGGGUAACACUAACUGGAGGACCGAACCGACUAAUGUUGAAAAAUUAGCGGAUGACUUGUGGCUGGGGGUGAAAGGCCAAUCAAACCGGGAGAUAGCUGGUUCUCCCCGAAAGCUAUUUAGGUAGCGCCUCGUGAACUCAUCUUCGGGGGUAGAGCACUGUUUCGGCUAGGGGGCCAUCCCGGCUUACCAACCCGAUGCAAACUACGAAUACCGAAGAAUGUUAUCACGGGAGACACACGGCGGGUGCUAACGUCCGUCGUGAAGAGGGAAACAACCCAGACCGCCAGCUAAGGUCCCAAAGUCAUGGUUAAGUGGGAAACGAUGUGGGAAGGCACAGACAGCCAGGAUGUUGGCUUAGAAGCAGCCAUCAUUUAAAGAAAGCGUAAUAGCUCACUGGUCGAGUCGGCCUGCGCGGAAGAUGUAACGGGGCUAAACCAUGCACCGAAGCUGCGGCAGCGACACUAUGUGUUGUUGGGUAGGGGAGCGUUCUGUAAGCCGUUGAAGGUGUGCUGUGAGGCAUGCUGGAGGUAUCAGAAGUGCGAAUGCUGACAUAAGUAACGAUAAAGCGGGUGAAAAGCCCGCUCGCCGGAAGACCAAGGGUUCCUGUCCAACGUUAAUCGGGGCAGGGUGAGUCGACCCCUAAGGCGAGGCCGAAAGGCGUAGUCGAUGGGAAACAGGUUAAUAUUCCUGUACUUGGUGUUACUGCGAAGGGGGACGGAGAAGGCUAUGUUAGCCGGGCGACGGUUGUCCCGGUUUAAGCAUGUAGGCGGAACGAUUAGGUAAAUCCGGUCGUUUUUAACGCUGAGGUGUGAUGACGAGGCACUACGGUGCUGAAGUAACAAAUGCCCUGCUUCCAGGAAAAGCCUCUAAGCAUCAGGUAACAUCAAAUCGUACCCCAAACCGACACAGGUGGUCAGGUAGAGAAUACCAAGGCGCUUGAGAGAACUCGGGUGAAGGAACUAGGCAAAAUGGUGCCGUAACUUCGGGAGAAGGCACGCUGAUAUGUAGGUGAAGCCCCUGCGGGUGGAGCUGAAAUCAGUCGAAGAUACCAGCUGGCUGCAACUGUUUAUUAAAAACACAGCACUGUGCAAACACGAAAGUGGACGUAUACGGUGUGACGCCUGCCCGGUGCCGGAAGGUUAAUUGAUGGGGUUAGCGGCAACGCGAAGCUCUUGAUCGAAGCCCCGGUAAACGGCGGCCGUAACUAUAACGGUCCUAAGGUAGCGAAAUUCCUUGUCGGGUAAGUUCCGACCUGCACGAAUGGCGUAAUGAUGGCCAGGCUGUCUCCACCCGAGACUCAGUGAAAUUGAACUCGCUGUGAAGAUGCAGUGUACCCGCGGCAAGACGGAAAGACCCCGUGAACCUUUACUAUAGCUUGACACUGAACACUGGUCCUUGAUGUGUAGGAUAGGUGGGAGGCUUUGAAGUGUGGACGCCAGUCUGCAUGGAGCCGUCCUUGAAAUACCACCCUUUAAUGGCUGGUGUUCUAACGUAGACCCGUAAUCCGGGUUGCGGACAGUGUCUGGUGGGUAGUUUGACUGGGGCGGUCUCCUCCCAAAGAGUAACGGAGGAGCACGAAGGUUAGCUAAUCCUGGUCGGACAUCAGGAGGUUAGUGCAAUGGCAUAAGCUAGCUUGACUGCGAGAGUGACGGCUCGAGCAGGUGCGAAAGCAGGUCAUAGUGAUCCGGUGGUUCUGAAUGGAAGGGCCAUCGCUCAACGGAUAAAAGGUACUCCGGGGAUAACAGGCUGAUACCGCCCAAGAGUUCAUAUCGACGGCGGUGUUUGGCACCUCGAUGUCGGCUCAUCACAUCCUGGGGCUGAAGUAGGUCCCAAGGGUAUGGCUGUUCGCCAUUUAAAGUGGUACGCGAGCUGGGUUUAGAACGUCGUGAGACAGUUCGGUCCCUAUCUGCCGUGGGCGCUGGAGAAUUGAGGGGGGCUGCUCCUAGUACGAGAGGACCGGAGUGGACGCAUCACUGGUGUUCGGGUUGUCAUGCCAAUGGCACUGCCCGGUAGCUAAAUGCGGAAAAGAUAAGUGCUGAAAGCAUCUAAGCACGAAACUUGCCCCGAGAUGAGUUCUCCCUGAGACUUUAAGUCUCCUGAAGGAACGUUGAAGACGACGACGUUGAUAGGUCGGGUGUGUAAGCGCAGCGAUGCGUUGAGCUAACCGAUACUAAUGAACCGUGAGGCUUAACCU